AUCGAGAAGCCUGACCUAUAAAUAUUCGAUUUUUGCCCGCUCUUCACUCUCUAAAUCUUCCUGUAAAAAAAAAAAAAAGCAGUGAAGAGCAGCGAUAAUGGCGAUAAUUUUUUUUUGUUUGGUUUGCUUUGGCCGCAAUCUUAUGCUCUCUAACUGCGAUUUCAGCCAAAGAGAGUGAAUCGAAAGAGUUCGUUUUGACUUUGGAUCACUCUAACUUUACUUGCUUCGUUACUCACCACAAUUUCGUCGUCGUCAAAUUCUACGCUCCUUGGUGUCGGCACAGUCAGAAUCUUGCUCCAGAGUACGAGAAAGCAGCAUCUGUGCUGAGUAACCACCACCCUCCAAUUAUUCUAGCUAAAUUUGAUGCCGAUGAUGAAGCAAACAAAUACUUAGCAAAGCAAUAUAGAAUCCGGGGUUAUCCUACAGUUAAAAUUUUCAGAAAUGGAGGACAGAUGAUUCAAGAAUACAGAGACUCACGCCGAGCUAAUUAUAUUGUGGAGUAUUUGAAGGAACAAAUUAGUACUGCUUCUGUUGAAAUCAAGUCUGCUGAAGAUGCCAGUGGUAUAAUUUCUCAAAAUAAGAUAACAAUUGAUUUUACUGUGGAAGCUAUAGAAAAGUUUUUUGGAGAAGCAUUAGGACUUUAAUGGUUUAAUGUGGACAUGGCUUUAAGUAAUAUCCGAUCCGGGUAAGUUAAAUCAAGCCAGGAUAUUUGUAGCUCAUUAUAAUGUCUCUUACGCCAAUUUUUUUAUGUUCUUGCUGGUUGCUUUGAAUUGAUUUUUACGCUGUAAUUAAGUUGAAUAAUUUAAUAAUUUGUUUUGAGCAA